rnacentral:misc_RNA from 1 species
AGAGUCUCCUGGAGGACGCCCUGGUAGAUGUAGGCGGACCAGAUCCCGGCGACACAGAAGGCGAGGACGGCCACGCGCCCCGCCAUGCUUCCGCUGACGCCGACGACACGGUCGCGGGGGCGGGGACGGACGACGCCGUUGGCACCGUCGGCGCGGCCCCGGCGUGCGGCGGCCAUGGUGUCGAUUCGCCCGCCGGCGAUGGCGAGGGGUCAGCAGAAUCGGCACUGGUGGCGAUUCGAUGCGCGGUGUACCGGCGGCGGUGCCCGGUGGUCGCCGAGUGGAAGCGGGAUCGCGUGUUAUAG